rnacentral:rRNA from 1 species
AAUCUUGCGCAAUGGGCGAAAGCCUAACGCAGCCAUGCCGCGUGAAUGAUGAAGGUCUUAGGAUUGUAAAAUUCUUUCACCGGGGACGAUAAUGACGGUACCUGGAGAAGAAGCCCCGGCUACCUUCGUGCCAGCAGCCGCGGUAAUACGAAGGGGGCUAGCGUUGCUCGGAAUUACUGGGCGUAAAGGGCGCGUAGGCGGAUCGUUAAGUCAAGGGUGAAAUCCCGGGGCUAAACCUCGGAACUGCCCUGGAUACUGGCGAUCUUGGGUAUGAGAGAGGUAUGUGGAACUCCGAGUGUAGGGGUGAAAUUCGUAGAUAUUCGGAAGAACACCAGUGGCGAAGGCGACAUACUGGCUCAUUACUGACGCUGAGGCGCGAAAGCGUGGGGAGCAAACA